UUUCUACUCCCUCCGUUCGAAAAUACUUGUCAUCAAAAUGGAUAAAAAGAGAUAUAUCUAAAACUAAAAUAUGUCUAGAUACAUUUCCUUUUAUCUAUUUUGAUGACAAGUAUUUCCGGACGGAGGGAGUAUUUG
rnacentral:pre_miRNA from 1 species